GGGCAGCUAGUCUAACAAGACGGUUGAUUUCGGCUCAACCAAUUAUGGCUCAACCCCAUAGCCGCCCU
rnacentral:tRNA from 1 species